rnacentral:rRNA from 1 species
UGAGGAAUAUUGGGUCAAUGGGCGGGAGCCUGAACCAGCCAAGUCGCGUGAGGGAUGACGGCCCUAUGGGUUGUAAACCUCUUUUACAAGGGAAUAAAGGGCUUUACGAGUAAAGUUUUGCAUGUACCUUAUGAAUAAGCAUCGGCUAACUCCGUGCCAGCAGCCGCGGUAAUACGGAGGAUGCGAGCGUUAUCCGGAUUCAUUGGGUUUAAAGGGUGCGUAGGUGGCUUGCUAAGUCAGCGGUGAAAGUCAUUGGCUCAACCAAUGAAUUGCCGUUGAAACUGGCGAGCUUGAGUACGUACGGGGCAGGCGGAAUGCGUGGUGUAGCGGUGAAAUGCAUAGAUAUCACGCAGAACCCCGAUCGCGAAGGCAGCCUGCCAGGCCGUGACUGACACUGAUGCACGAAAGCGUGGGUAUCGAACA